rnacentral:rRNA from 1 species
UCGAUUUGGAGUUUGUUGCCUAGAGUGAUGGGCUCCGAAGCUAACGCGAUAAAUCGACCGCCUGGGGAGUACGGCCGCAAGGUUAAAACUCAAAUGAAUUGACGGGGGCCCGCACAAGCGGUGGAGCAUGUGGUUUAAUUCGAUGCAACGCGAAGAACCUUACCUGGUCUUGACAUCCACAGAAUCUAGCAGAGAUGCGAGAGUGCCUUCGGGAACUGUGAGACAGGUGCUGCAUGGCUGUCGUCAGCUCGUGUUGUGAAAUGUUGGGUUAAGUCCCGCAACGAGCGCAACCCUUAUCCUUUGUUGCCAUUGGUUCGGCCGGGAACUCAAAGGAGACUGCCGUUGAUAAAGCGGAGGAAGGUGGGGACGACGUCAAGUCAUCAUGGCCCUUACGACCAGGGCUACACACGUGCUACAAUGGCGUAUACAAAGGGAGGCGACCUCGCGAGAGCAAGCGGACCUCAUAAAGUACGUCUAAGUCCGGAUUGGAGUCUGCAACUCGACUCCAUGAAGUCGGAAUCGCUAGUAAUCGUGAAUCAGAAUGUCACGGUGAAUACGUUCCCGGGCCU